AGAAUGAACGCUGGCGGCGUGCUUAACACAUGCAAGUCGUACGAGAACUCUUUAGCUUGCUAAAGAUAGUAAAGUGGCGCACGGGUGAGUAACGCGUGGGUAAUCUACCUUCGAAUCGGGGAUAACAUUGCGAAAGCGAUGCUAAUACCGGAUAAUAUCCCAAAACCAUCUGGUUUUGAGAUCAAAAAUGGCCUCUACAUGUAAGCUGUUGUUUGGAGAUGAGCCCGCGUACCAUUAGCUUGUUGGUAGGGUAAUGGCCUACCAAGGCAACGAUGGUUAGCUGGUCUGAGAGGAUGAUCAGCCACACUGGAACUGACACACGGUCCAGACUCCUACGGGAGGCAGCAGUGAGGAAUUUUGCGCAAUGGGGGAAACCCUGACGCAGCAACGCCGCGUGAGUGAUGAAGGCCUUCGGGUCGUAAAGCUCUGUCAAGUGGGAAGAAAAUGAAAAAUGUUAAUACCAUUUUUUACUGACGGUACCACUGAAGGAAGCACCGGCUAACUCCGUGCCAGCAGCCGCGGUAAUACGGAGGGUGCAAGCGUUAUUCGGAAUUAUUGGGCGUAAAGGGCGCGUAGGCGGCCUUUUAAGUCAGAUGUGAAAGCCCGGGGCUUAACCCCGGAAGUGCAUUUGAAACUAAAGGGCUUGAGUAUGGGAGAGGGAAGUGGAAUUCCUGGUGUAGCGGUGAAAUGCGUAGAUAUCAGGAGGAACACCGGUGGCGAAGGCGACUUCCUGGACCAAUACUGACGCUAAGGCGCGAAGGCGUGGGUAGCAAACAGGAUUAGAUACCCUGGUAGUCCACGCAGUAAACGGUGAACACUAGGUGUAGCGGGUAUUGACCCCUGCUGUGCCGCAGCUAACGCAUUAAGUGUUCCGCCUGGGGAGUACGGUCGCAAGAUUAAAACUCAAGGAAUUGACGGGGGCCCGCACAAGCGGUGGAGCAUG
rnacentral:rRNA from 1 species